rnacentral:lncRNA from 1 species
AAAAGUCACAAUUGAGAACUUGACCUUGACCUUUGACCUUGACCUCAUUUUCUAAGUUUGGACCCAUUGGACUCAAAUAAAAACAUUCCAGGGUUAUACGGUUAACUGUUUAUGAGUUAUAUAAACAUACAGACAAAUUUAUUUUGUAAAGGUAGAUAACUCCUAUAAAAUUUCAUCGAAUCGCUUCGAUCCAAAUGCGCCAAAAAUUACUGAGGAUGUAACGAACAAUUUGUAAAAAGAAUUUUGUCGAUAUCUUUUUUUGUUACGAAGGAGAUGCACACAGAUCAUAAACAGUGAAUAGGGAGAUAACUCUUACAAAGAAAACGGUUCGGCUUAGCAGGGUAAAAUUUAAAAGCGCAUAAACUAUACGAUACCAUAUGAGAAAUAUCUAAGCGACAUAUUGCGAAACAAACAUUUAUCGCAAGAACAAAAUUUGGCGGAA